GACUUGAUGUCUGAUGGGAGAAUGGCAGUGAGGAUAGACAGAGGUAGGAGGUGGAAUUUACAAGACUUGAUGUCUGAUGGGAGAAUGGCAGUGAGGACAGACAGAGGUAGGAGGUGGAAUUUACAAGACUUGAUGUCUGAUGGGAGAAUGGCAGUGAGGAUAGACAGAGGUAGGAGUUGGAAUUUACAAAACUUGAUGUCUGAUGGGAGAAUGGCAGUGAGUACAGACAGAGGUAGGAGGUGGAAUUUACAAGACUUGAUGUCUGAUGGGAGAAUGGCAGUGAGGACAGACAGAGGUAGGAGGUGGAAUUUACAAGACUUGAUGUCUGAUGGGAGAAUGGCAGUGAGGAUAGACAGAGGUAGGAGGUGGAAUUUACAAGACU
rnacentral:lncRNA from 1 species